GUCAAGCUGUCCCUAAACAACAUCAAGUGACAAUACCCGAGGGCGUUCUCUUGCUUUACCAAAGUUACAAAAGAGUAUGUAAAUUUCAAAAUAUGUCAAACGAGUCACAGAAAUAGUCUUUGUACUUAUUGGUACAAGACUCUAGGCGAUGUUCACACCCGUUGCACCCACCAGACCAGAAGGAGAAACCAGACAGAGGAGUUAAUUGCCCCGUUUCCAAAGAGAUAUGGCUACAAGAGAGGAUACUUGUACCUGUUGGUUUAUGAAGGAAUCGUUCUGAAAGGCACAGAAAAACUUACUCCACUAAAGUGGACAUUGAGGAUGAUCAUUGAUGAUAGGUUCAAGCUGAAUUUUUUAAGCUUGGUACUGAGGAUAUUGAAGAGAAAAUAGAAUGUGACAAUGAACAGUGUCCAGCUGUUUCUCAACACACCUCAGGGGUGGAAGAGCAAUCCAGUCAGAAUAUAGAGUUUUGUCUGAGUCAGUCAUCCUAAGGAACUGUAUGUGACUACUGGAGACGACCCACAUACUAUCGAGAAAAGCUAAACAAGAGUAUGAAACUGUCUGAUGGUAAAUUCACGCCCUUACGCUUCACCCUGAAUACAUCAUUAGAUGAGGUACAGCAGUCUAUAAAAGACUAUGUGACACAGAAAGCCAAUGAAGUUAUUCAGUGUGCCUUUGAAUGCAUUGCACCUUGCAAGAAAAUGCUUUAAUGCACUUGUUAUAUAAAAAAUAUUACAUGCUGGAGGAAAAAAGAUAGAAACUGAUGCAUUUACAGAAGCCUUAAUAAAAGCAUACGAUCAGGAUCAUCAGGCUGAUGGGCAUCAGAGUCAAGUACAGAUACUAUCAUUUUUUGUGAACAACGUUUCAAAAACUGAACUUUGUAAAAUGUCGCAUGGUUUAACAAAGUACAAAAUAGAUUGUGCAAGAAAAUAUGCAUCAACUAAUAUUGUCCUGGCUACUUUUUUCAUCCUUUGUUAAAACAAAACAGUGGAGCUACAGUCUCCUCAGAGACUACUGGUCUAUCCACAUGUACAGAAGUAUUUUUACCAAAAUGUUCAGUCAUUGUACAUACCAUUUUUGAAGUGAAAAUAUUGAUUUUUUAAAUAGUAGCCUAAUAUAGUUCAUAAAAGUAUGAAACAAAGGGAAAUAACUCUGUCGCAAAAAAUCACAAUUUUUUGGAAAAAUUCCUCAAUUUCAAAAUCGCACAGUGUCACCAAUAAUCAAAACCCGAAUAAUUGCCUGUAGGAAAUUAUUAUUAAGUUCACAAUCUUUAUCUUAAAACAAAAUAAUUUAAAAUCUAAGCGUCCAAACCCAGGUUUAAAACAUUUCCAAUAUCGACCCUUUUCCCACAUUUUUCAGUCUCUUUUAUAUCAAGAGUUAUUCCCCCUGUGUUUAAAUAUAGCAUUGAUUUUUAAGACAAAAAAAUUUGUGCAAAAUGAAAUAAAUAAUAUAUAUUUUCUUUUGUUCUUACUUUUGAUCACUCAAUAUUU